rnacentral:rRNA from 1 species
GACGAACGCUGGCGGCGUGCUUAACACAUGCAAGUCGAACGGAAAGGCCCUGCUUGCAGGGUACUCGAGUGGCGAACGGGUGAGUAACACGUGGGUGAUCUGCCCUGCACUUCGGGAUAAGCCUGGGAAACUGGGUCUAAUACCGGAUAGGAGCCAUUUUUAGUGUGAUGGUUGGAAAGUUUUUUCGGUGUAGGAUGAGCUCGCGGCCUAUCAGCUUGUUGGUGGGGUAAUGGCCUACCAAGGCGGCGACGGGUAGCCGGCCUGAGAGGGUGGACGGCCACAUUGGGACUGAGAUGCGGCCCAGACUCCUACGGGAGGCAGCAGGGGGGAAUAUUGCACAAUGGGCGCAAGCCGGAUGCAGCGACGCCGCGGGGGGGAUGACGGCCUUCGGGUUGUAAACUCCUUUCGCUAGGGACUAAGCUUGUUGUGACGGUACCUAGAGAAGAAGCACCGGCUAACUACGUG